UUAGCUCUUGUCUACGUACUUUUUUCACUCCGUGUAAAGGUUCCCUUUGUUUUCGUCCUUUACGUAUCUUAAUUUAAAAUCGUGACUUGGCCGCUUCUUCCUGAUCGCUCAACUCGAAUUCCAUAACCCUGUGCGUACCUAUGUGAAACGGACGGACUACGUGGAUUACGGGGAGCUAAUGGCGAGCCGGACAAUUAGCUUUCUUCGAAGAAGAUUGAUGAAGAGUUGAUCGGGCGUUACUCUAGGUGGACACCUUGGACCUUUGUUGCUCAAUAGAAAUACACGUAUGGGUUCCUUUGAUACAGUACCGCUGAAUUAUUCAUCGACGAUUGGGUGUGGUCGUACUUUGGGGGAAGAUUUUUAAGGUCUGUUGUAUGCAUGUAGUCGGAGCUCUCGGAGUAUCUGGUUAACGCCGGGACGGUUCACUGGGCACUGACUGAUCGUCAGUAGGUUAAGGAGAAAUGGAAAGAGCGAGGAAGACCGAGCGAGCGAAUGAAAAAGAAUAAAAGAACGACGCGUGCUGUCAAACAGAAGUUUCCGGUGUGGUCCUAGUCUUCUAAUGUAAUUUAUGACUGAAAAAUAUGUGGAAAAAUUAAUUAACUACGUGCCGGGUAGGAAUUGAAAACGCUUUGUCAUAAUCUCCCGUAAGUGACAACAAAACCUAAGCAACAAAGAGAAGACAGACAAAUAAGGGUACUAGGAUACAAAUAUAAUGCAAGGGUGUGGUUCACUUGAUUGAAAUUGAAGAGAUAAGCUACAAAAAAAACCAAUGACAGAUAAAAAAAGGACAAACCGUUAAAUCACUUUAAAAAAAUGGCUCGAUUGACAAGAUAUAUUCGACAACCACCUGCCGGCCGCAGAAAUGUUACCCUAAAUGAAAUCCUAAAAAUAGAUUUGUCCCAGAAGAGACAAAGGAGCACACGAAUGACAGUUACAAACAAUAUGAAAUUCGACUUGAUUACAGAACAAACAAUCCAUACAGAGUGAAUGCUCGGUGCUAAAAUUGAUGUAAGAAUUAGGAAAGGAGACAAUGAAUGACUUAGAGACACAGUAAGUCAGUAAGUCAGUAAGUCAGUGAGUAAAGCAAGUAGCUAGGUUAUUGAUUUGGUGACAGAUCGUAGCGAUGCGGAGGCUUCGUCGAAAGAGGGCUCGCCGCAACUCCGGCAAGGAAGGAAGAGUUCUGGUACGGGUAGCCUGAUAAUUAUAUAUAGCGUCCGGGCCACGAGCCACGCACCUAAAGACUAAGCGCGUUAAAUAUAGACGAAAUGCAACGAGGACGUUGAAAAUCCUCCUGGGGAAUAGGAGAGAAGGCUGUUAUGAUAUCGAGACGAUGAAGUUGCAGUGGCAGCGACCACGGAAGUGGCGGCCAUGGCCGACAGCACAGUAUCGUCUGCUAGUCCCCAAGUGCCGACACGUUCGUUAUAUAUGUAUAUGUGUGUGUAUAUAUGUACAGUGAGUAGCGACACAACCGGAAUCAGGAUCUGGUAAGGUAUAAAUCGACGAGGCUAAAAGUCAUGGAUAUGAGAGACGAUAAUAUUCAAUG